UAGACAGUGCCCUUAGGACAAAGUUCUUUGUCAAAAAAUCAAGGCAAAAAGAUAUAAACUACCCAAGUAACCAUCCAGCACUAAAACCAAAUCAUAAACCAGCAACAUAUUGGCACUCCAGUGCUAAUCAACCAUUAAACAGCACAUGUUAAUGCGAAUCAGCAUUUAUGAAGCUGCACUAUGGCUGAUUAGGUGCCGCAGCUAGCAACACUGUCAUGAUAUUACAAUAAACUGGCAACACGAUCACUAUUUUGAGUGAUGAAUGAGUGAAAGAGAGAGAACACCGAGCAAAACAAACCGGUUCAGAUUCUCGCUCACUCAUCGGACGAAAUAACCAGAGUAGCAGCAAAAUGCUGGUUUAAUUCUGUAUAAAAACAACGAAAUGAGAAAAGAUCAAGCCGUUCGGCUCAUCCCAUAACAUUGGUGCGAUGGCGUUUUCAAGGCUGGUUCUCGAAAAAAAUCACGUUACCCCAAAAACAACACCCACAAAGUGCACGGAAUGAACGACCGUGCUAAACCCGUGAAAUUUUGGUCCGCGGCCUGGCAGUUAACAUAGUUUUAGUGUUGAAUAUUGUGUUUGUUAAUAAAUUGAAAUUUUCUAACCAGA